rnacentral:lncRNA from 1 species
UACCUUUAAGUCUUUAUUGAAGACUCGUCUCUUCAGUGGGUCCAUAUGGAGGUGUUCUAUAACUAUUAUAGAACAUAUGAAAUGGUUCUAGAACUAUUAUAGACCAAUCUCUACCUUUAAGUCUUUAUUGAAGACUCGUCUCUUCAGUGGGUCCAUAUGGAGGUGUUCUAGAACUAUUAUAGACAAUAUCGGAACAUAAUUUUGGAUAUUGUAGGCUGUACCUGCACCGUCAUCUUGUUUUGUAUACUUGUAUUUAUCAGACUGUUUAUCUUCCUGAAUAUAAUAGCAGGAAAACACCUCCAUGUGGUCUAUAAUAGUUCUAGAACACCUCCAUAUGGUCUAUAAUAGUUCUAGAACACCUCCAUAUGGUCUAUAAUAGUUCUAGAACACCUCCAUAUGGUCUAUAAUAGUUCUAGAACACCUCCAUAUGGUCUAUAAUAGUUCUAGAACACCUCCAUAUGGUCUAUAAUAGUUCUAGAACACCUCCAUGUGGUCUAUAAUAGUUCUAGAACACCUCCAUAUUGUCUAUAAUAGUUAUAUAACACCUACAUAUGGUCUAUAAUAGUUCUAGAACACCUCCAUAUGGUCUAUAAUAGUUCUAGAACACCUCCAUAUUGUCUAUAAUAGUUAUAUAACACCUACAUAUGGUCUAUAAUAGUUCUAGAACACCUCCAUAUGGUCUAUAAUAGUUCUAGAACACCUCCAUGUGGUCUAUAAUAGUUCUAGAACACCUCCAUAUUGUCUAUAAUAGUUAUAUAACACCUACAUAUGGUCUAUAAUAGUUCUAGAACACCUCCAUAUGGUCUAUAAUAGUUCUAGAACACCUCCAUGUGGUCUAUAAUAGUUCUAGAACACCUCCAUAUUGUCUAUAAUAGUUAUAUAACACCUACAUAUGGUCUAUAAUAGUUCUAGAACACCUCCAUAUUGUCUAUAAUAGUUCUAGAACACCUCCAUGUGGUCUUUAAUAGUUCUAGAACACCUCCAUAUUGUCUAUAAUAGUUAUAUAACACCUACAUAUGGUCUAUAAUAGUUCUAGAACACCUCCAUGUGGUCUAUAAUAGUUCUAGAACACCUCCAUAUUGUCUAUAAUAGUUAUAUAACACCUACAUAUGGUCUAUAAUAGUUCUAGAACACCUCCAUGUGGUCUAUAAUAGUUCUAGAACACCUCCAUAUUGUCUAUAAUAGUUAUAUAACACCUACAUAUGGUCUAUAAUAGUUCUAGAACACCUCCAUGUGGUCUAUAAUAGUUCUAGAACACCUCCAUGUUGUCUAUAAUAGUUCUAGAACACCUCCAUAUGGUCUAUAAUAGUUCUAGAACACCUCCAUGUGGUCUAUAAUAGUUCUAGAACACCUCCAUAUUGUCUAUAAUAGUUAUAUAACACCUACAUAUGGUCUAUAAUAGUUCUAGAACACCUCCAUGUGGUCUAUAAUAGUUCUAGAACACCUCCAUAUUGUCUAUAAUAGUUAUAUAACACCUACAUAUGGUCUAUAAUAGUUCUAGAACACCUCCAUGUGGUCUAUAAUAGUUCUAGAACACCUCCAUAUUGUCUAUAAUAGUUAUAUAACACCUACAUAUGGUCUAUAAUAGUUCUAUAACACCUACAUAUGGUCUAUAAUAGUUCUAGAACACCUCCAUGUGGUCUAUAAUAGUUCUAGAACACCUCCAUGUGGUCUAUAAUAGUUCUAGAACACCUCCAUAUGGUCUAUAAUAGUUCUAGAACACCUCCAUAUGGUCUAUAAUAGUUCUAGAACACCUCCAUAUGGUCUAUAAUAGUUAUAGAACACCUCCAUAUUGUCUAUAAUAGUUCUAGAACACCUCCAUAUGGUCUAUAAUAGUUCUAGAACACCUCCAUAUGGUCUAUAAUAGUUCUAGAACACCUCCAUAUGGUCUAUAAUAGUUCUAGAACACCUCCAUAUGGUCUAUAAUAGUUCUAGAACACUUCCAUAUUGUCUAUAAUAGUUCUAGAACACCUCCAUAUGGUCUAUAAUAGUUCUAGAACACCUCCAUGUUGUCUAUAAUAGUUCUAGAACACCUCCAUAUGGUCUAUAAUAGUUCUAGAACACCUCCAUGUGGUCUAUAAUAGUUCUAGAACACCUCCAUAUUGUCUAUAAUAGUUCUAGAACACCUCCAUAUGGUCUAUAAUAGUUCUAGAACACUUCCAUAUGGUCUAUAAUAGUUCUAGAACACCUCCAUAUGGUCUAUAAUAGUUCUAGAACACUUCCAUAUUGUCUAUAAUAGUUCUAGAACACCUCCAUAUGGUCUAUAAUAGUUCUAGAACACUUCCAUAUUGUCUAUAAUAGUUCUAGAACACCUCCAUAUGGUCUAUAAUAGUUCUAGAACACCUCCAUAUGGUCUAUAAUAGUUCUAGAACACCUCCAUAUGGUCUAUAAUAGUUCUAGAACACUUCCAUAUUGUCUAUAAUAGUUCUAGAACACCUCCAUGUGGUCUAUAAUAGUUCUAGAACACCUCCAUAUGGUCUAUAAUAGUUCUAGAACACCUCCAUAUGGUCUAUAAUAGUUCUAGAACACCUCCAUAUGGUCUAUAAUAGUUCUAGAACACCUCCAUAUGGUCUAUAAUAGUUCUAGAACACCUCCAUAUUGUCUAUAAUAGUUCUAGAACGCCUCCAUAUUGUCUAUAAUAGUUCUAGAACACCUCCAUAUUGUCUAUAAUAGUUCUAGAACACUAACCUUGUGUUGUCUUUUUCUUCUGCAGUAUCCACAUCUCGGUGC